UUAAGUAAGGAAGGGCGUACGGCGAAUGCCUUGCCACUCGAAACUGAAGAAGGACGCGCCAAACUGCGAAAAGCUCCGUGAAGCUGUAAGGAAGCGAAGAAGCGGAGGUGUCCGAAUGGGGGAACCCGGCAGCAGACAUGAGCUGUCAUCUGCAGGUGAAUACAUGGCCUGCAAGAGAGGUACCCGGCGAACUGAAACAUCUAAGUAGCCGGAGGAAAAGAAAACAACAGUGAUUCCCUGAGUAGCGGCGAGCGAAAGGGGAGAAGCCCAAACCGGUUGAAGGACCGGGGUUGAAGGACCAUGACAUGGCAAGAACGAGGAUAGGAGAACGGGAUCGAAAGCCCGGCCGAAGAAGGUGAAAGCCCUGUAACCGAAAUCCGAGUAAAGCCUAAUGGGAUCCUGAGUACGGCGAGACACGAGAAAUCUUGUCGGAAGCAGGCGGGACCAUCCGCCAAGGCUAAAUAUAAACGAGUGAGCGAUAGUGAACCAGUACCGUGAGGGAAAGGUGAAAAGAACCGCGGGAGCGGAGUGAAAGAGAACCUGAAACCGUAUGCCUACAAGAAGUCAGAGCCCGUUAAGGGGUGAUGGCGUGCCUUUUGUAGAAUGAACCGGCGAGUUGCGACAGACUGCGAGGUUAAGGAGGAAAGACCGGAGCCGAAGCGAAAGCGAGUCUUAAGAGGGCGAAAGUAGGAUGUUGCAGACCCGAAACCGGGUGAUCUAGCCAUGAGCAGGUUGAAGUUGAGGUGAAACUCAAUGGAGGACCGAACCGACUACCGUUGAAAAGUUAGCGGAUGACUUGUGGCUAGGGGAGAAAUUCCAAUCGAACCCGGAGAUAGCUGGUUCUCCCCGAAAUAGCUUUAGGGCUAGCGUCGGAAAGAACCUUAGUGAAGGUAGAGCACUGAAUGUGUGAUGGCCCCAUCCCGGGGUACUGAAUACAAUCAAACUGCGAAUGUCAUUAAGGAUGUCCGGCAGUCAGACUGUGAGUGAUAAGGUCCAUGGUCAAGAGGGAAACAGCCCAGACCGCCAGUUAAGGUCCCAAAAUACAGGCUAAGUGGAAAAGGAUGUGGGGAUGCCCAGACAACUAGGAGGUUGGCUCAGAAGCAGCCAUCCUUUAAAGAGUGCGUAACAGCUCACUAGUCGAGUGACCCUGCGCCGAAAAUGUACCGGGGCUAAGCCUGAUACCGAAACUGCGGAUUGUAGGAAACUAUAGUGGUAGGGGAGCGUUGUAUACGAGCAGAAGCCGUACCGUGAGGAGCGGUGGAUUGUAUAGAAGUGAGAAUGCCGGUGUGAGUAGCGAGAUGUAGGUGAGAAUCCUACACACCGAAAGCCCAAGGAUUCCAGGGGAAGGUUCGUCCGCCCUGGGUAAGUCGGGACCUAACGCGAGGCCGAAAGGCGUAGUGGAUGGAAAGCAGGCGAAAGAUUCCUGCACCCGUAUAUGGAGCGAAGGAGUGACGGAGACGGAUAGUGUGACCCUCUUAAUGGAUUGAGGGCGAAGCGAAGCGGCUGGUUACCAGGCAAAUCCGGUAACCAUAAGGCUAGAGCGUGACAGGUAAGCGAAAUCUUAGGAAAGUAGCGAAGCACAUGAUGACGGCUUCCAGGAAAAGCUUCUGGCAAUGCAUAUGCGGCCCGUACCAAAACCGACACAGGUGGGCAGGGAGAGAAUCCCGAGGUGAGCGAGAGAACUGUUGCCAAGGAACUCGGCAAAAUGACUCCGUAAGUUAGCGAGAAGGAGUGCUUAAGCAAUUAAGCCGCAGUGAAGAGGCCCAAGCGACUGUUUAACUAAAACACAGCUCUCUGCGAAGUCGCAAGACGAAGUAUAGGGGGUGACACCUGCCCGGUGCUGGAAGGUUAAGAGGAUCUGUUAAGAGCGAUCUGAAGCAGUGAUCCGAAGCCCCAGUGAACGGCGGCCGUAACUAUAACGGUCCUAAGGUAGCGAAAUUCCUUGUCAGGUAAGUUCUGACCCGCACGAAAGGUGUAACGAUUUGGGCGCUGUCUCGGCAGCAGACUCGGUGAAAUCUUAGUACCUGUGAAAAUGCAGGUUACCCGCAACUAGACGGAAAGACCCCAUGGAGCUUUACUGCAGCCUGAUAUUGAAUUCUGGUCAUACAUGUACAGGAUAGGUGGGAGACAAAGAGACGUGCACGCCAGUGUACGAGGAGUCGACGUUGGGAUACCACUCUUGUGUGACCGGGGUUCUAACCUGGUAUCGAGAACAGGUACGGGGAGAGUGUCAGGUGGGCAGUUUGACUGGGGCGGUCGCCUCCCAAAGAGUAACGGAGGCGCCCAAAGGUACGCUCAGAUUGGAUGGAAACCAAUCGUCGAGUGCAAUUGCAGAAGCGUGCUUGACUGUGAGACAGACAAGUCGAACAGGGACGAAAGUCGGGAAUAGUGAUCCGGCGGUGCCGAAUGGAAGGGCCGUCGCUCAACGGAUAAAAGCUACCCUGGGGAUAACAGGC
rnacentral:rRNA from 1 species